AUGCUAGCUUUGGCAGCACAUGUACUAAAACUGGAAAAAUACAAAGAAGGUUAGCAUGGCCCCUGCAUAAGGAUAACAUGCAAAUGUAUGAAACUUUUUUUUU